AUUGAACGCUGGCGGCAGGCCUAACACAUGCAAGUCGAACGGUAACAGGAAGCAGCUUGCUGCUUUGCUGACGAGUGGCGGACGGGUGAGUAAUGUCUGGGAAACUGCCUGAUGGAGGGGGAUAACUACUGGAAACGGUAGCUAAUACCGCAUAACGUCGCAAGACCAAAGAGGGGGACCUUCGGGCCUCUUGCCAUCGGAUGUGCCCAGAUGGGAUUAGCUAGUAGGUGGGGUAACGGCUCACCUAGGCGACGAUCCCUAGCUGGUCUGAGAGGAUGACCAGCCACACUGGAACUGAGACACGGUCCAGACUCCUACGGGAGGCAGCAGUGGGGAAUAUUGCACAAUGGGCGCAAGCCUGAUGGAGCCAUGCCGCGUGUAUGAAGAAGGCCUUCGGGUUGUAAAGUACUUUCAGCGGGGAGGAAGGGAGUAAAGUUAAUACCUUUGCUCAUUGACGUUACCCGCAGAAGAAGCACCGGCUAACUCCGUG
rnacentral:rRNA from 1 species